ensembl:lncRNA
AGGAGGGUCGGGUAUACUGGUGAUUAUCUAUCGGGGGUAUAUAUCGACCCAGUGCAGAAUGAACAUAGCCCUGAUCCUCCAAACGUCUGAGAGCUAGGCUAAGCUAGUAGACUCGUCAUAGCGGCUGCAGAAAAAAGAGAAGAAAAAAAAACAGCUACUCCAACCUGCGCAACUAUGCCUACUGACUUUUUUCCGCAGUGAUUUCUGACGUCGGCUCUGAGAGCGUGAAAAGGCAUCAGGGUCCACGCGCACCAGGUGCAUAUGAUAUUCGGUUGAAUAAUCAAAGAACAAUACUCGGAGAUCGGACCAAUGCGGAGGCCUGUGGUAGUUAUGUGCCUAUCGUGAAUAGUGUGAAACAGUGGACCCCUGGAUCAAACCGUCUAACCAAGAAAAACCUUAAAAGACCGAACCGUGCUCUGCCUCUACCCUGCUCGCCGCUAACAGUGGUGCAACAGCAGAUCCCGUAUAAAAAGGGGCGCAAGGACACCGCUGAUAGUGUUUUAGCUCCAGAGAAUUAUAACUUGGUUCUCCAGGCAGUUAUAAACCCACAAAUCGCGCAGCCAGGGACCGUAUGGUCUGAGUCCAAACAACAAGUGGUCGGGGCGGUGGAUGUGCAUGUGUCUGCGCCGCCUGCAGAGACCAUUACUGCACAGCCGGAUGGAUGCAUUCAGCAUG